rnacentral:lncRNA from 1 species
AACAAUGUUUCCUCCAUGUUAUGAAAGCUCGCAAGUGAAGUGUGUUUAUCAUUUAGUGCAAAGGCCAGAGAAGGAAGCGGCCAGCACACAGGUGGGAGAGUGAGCUCCUAGGAGAGAACAGUCUGGACUCUUGGCCAGGAGAAGAUGCCAGCACAAUUUCCCCACUUCCAGAGUUGGUACUGGCUACAAAAAGGUUCUUUACCUGCCACACAAGAGGGGCCAAAUAAAAACUGGAAUGCCAGGUUUAUGACAAGGAAAAGGUUUUCAUUUCAGGUGACAUCAGCUGGGAAACAAGAAUGAGCCCUCAAAUUCGUCUCAUCUCCCUGAAAGAUGGGAAGCAAGGGAUUUUAAAGGUUGCAAGGAAUGUGGCUGCUUGUAGGGAGGGGCAGCCCACAGCCUUGCUGGUUGGUGCUUUCCCACCAGCCUGCGUUUGGCCUUGUGAGGCCGCUUGCAGAGAGGAGGGUGGCAAGAUAAGGGAAUCUGCAGGUAGUCUCCUUGGUUGUCUGCCUCCAUGGUGGACAGCGGAUUCUAGUGCCAGGAAGCUGAGGAGUAGGCAGGGAAAGGGGAUGAGUACUUUGGUUUUAAGCACUAUAUAUGUUGAAUUUAAUGUAGGGGAACCGAUAUCAGGGCCAGUAUCAGAGUCACAUCUUUAUCACGGACACAUAGUGUUGGCUGAAUUAAAAACACUUCCAUUCACGCUCAAAAAUCUUCAGUGGCUCAGAUUAAUGAGACUGCCCUUCAGCAUCCUAGAUGAGCUGCCUCAAGGCGCACCUCUGGCCUCACAUGACAUCACUUUCCUCCCCUCAUGUUCACUCCAUCUAAGCAUUUCAAAGCCUAGCCCAAAGGGCUCAGUGACCAAACGAAAGGUCAAACACCAUGGUCUCUGCCACACACUGGUUGAUGGAGUCGUCUGUAGAGAAAUGACCACGCACAUCAAACCAGCCAUCUUUCUCCCUCAUCAGUAACCGUGAGACUUUCCCGCCUUGCCUGCCUCCCUUUAGGGGUUUCCAGU